rnacentral:rRNA from 1 species
UACGUAGGUGGCAAGCGUUGUCCGGAUUUAUUGGGCGUAAAGGGAGCGCAGACGGAACUGCAAGUCUGAUGUGAAAGCCCGGGGCUCAACCGCGGGACUGCAUUGGAAACUGUAGAUCUGGAGUGCCGGAGGGGCAAGCGGAAUUCCUGGUGUAGCGGUGAAAUGCGUAGAUAUCAGGAGGAACACCGGCGGCGAAGGCGGCUUGCUGGACGGCAACUGACGUUGAGGCUCGAAAGCGUGGGGAGCAAACAGGAUUAGAUACCCGGGUAGU